rnacentral:rRNA from 1 species
UCGCUAAUACCGGAUAGGACGAAAGUUUAAAGGUGCUUCGGCACCACUGAUGGAUGAGCCUGCGGCGCAUUAGCUAGUUGGUAGGGUAAAGGCCUACCAAGGCGACGAUGCGUAGCCGACCUGAGAGGGUGAACGGCCACACUGGGACUGAGACACGGCCCAGACUCCUACGGGAGGCAGCAGUAGGGAAUCUUCGGCAAUGGGCGAAAGCCUGACCGAGCAACGCCGCGUGAAUGAUGAAGGCCUUCGGGUUGUAAAAUUCUGUUAUAAGGGAAGAAUGGCUCUAGUAGGAAAUGGCUAGAGUGUGACGGUACCUUAUGAGAAAGCCACGGCUAACUACGUGCCAGCAGCCGCGGUAAUACGUAGGUGGCGAGCGUUAUCCGGAAUUAUUGGGCGUAAAGAGCGCGCAGGUGGUUGAUUAAGUCUGAUGUGAAAGCCCACGGCUUAACCGUGGAGGGUCAUUGGAAACUGGUCAACUUGAGUGCAGAAUAGGGAAGUGGAAUUCCAUGUGUAGCGGUGAAAUGCGUAGAGAUAUGGAGGAACACCAGUGGCGAAGGCGGCUUCCUGGUCUGUAACUGACA